AUGCAGCGGCGACUAGACACGGACAAGUAGCAAGUACCCCUUGCAAUCAGAGACACGUGGGCAUCAAAACUUUGAGAAGUAUGGAUCCAAUCAAUAACAUUCAAAUGCAUAUGAGCCCCGGGGGAUUUAGUACGCCCAAAAAGAACACAACCAUACCUCUCUUUUCUUCUUCUUUUACGCCUGAAUGUGAUGAGCAUUUGAAGCCUAAAGUGGGUAUGACAUUUGAAGGACUCGAGGCCGUGGAGAAGUUCUACAAGGCAUAUGCACAUCAAUCAGGUUUUGGCGUUCGUAUCGGACAGCAGAAAAAGAUUGAGAAUAAGGUGGUCCGGACUAAGCGUUUCAUGUGUAGUAGAGAAGGAUUCAAGUCAAAAGAUAUUAAGGAGAUUAAUGACCCCUUGAGGAAAAGACGUAAGCAGACAGACACGCGAUGCGGUUGUGAUGCUCAUAUAUUUGUUAGACUUUGUGGGGAGAACACCUACAAGAUAGACUCAUGGAUUGAGCAUCAUGUUCAUGGUCUUGUAUCACCUGAUAAGCGUCAUUUGAUCAG